UUGUUAUUCAAGUGUCCAAAAG
rnacentral:siRNA from 1 species